UACGUAGGGGGCAAGCGUUGCUCGGAAUCACUGGGCGUAAAGCGCACGUAGGCGGCUUCUUAAGUCAGGGGUGAAAUCCUGGAGCUCAACUCCAGAACUGCCUUUGAUACUGAGAAGCUUGAGUCCGGGAGAGGUGAGUGGAACUGCGAGUGUAGAGGUGAAAUUCGUAGAUAUUCGCAAGAACACCAGUGGCGAAGGCGGCUCACUGGCCCGGUACUGACGCUGAGGUGCGAAAGCGUGGGGAGCAAACAGG
rnacentral:rRNA from 1 species